rnacentral:rRNA from 1 species
AUUGAACGCUGGCGGCAUGCCUAACACAUGCAAGUCGAACGAGUGGCGGACGGGUGAGUAGUGUCUGGAAAACUGCCUGAUGGAGGGGGAUUACUACUGGAAACGGUAGCUAAUACCGCAUACCAUCGGAUGUGCCAAGAUGGGAUUAGCUAGUAGGUGGGGUAGCGGCGUACCAAGGCGACGAUCCCUAGCUGGUCUGAGAGGAUGACCAGCCACACUGGAACUGAGACACGGUCCAGACUCCUACGGGAGGCAGCAGUGGGGAAUAUUGCACAAUGGGCGCAAGCCUGAUGCAGCCAUGCCGCGUGUAUGAAGAAGGCCUUCGGGUUGUAAAGUACUUUCAGCGGGGAGGCGUUACUCGCAGAAGAAGCACCGGCUAACUCCGUGCCAGCAGCCGCGGUAAUAC